GACGAACGCUGGCGGCGUGCUUAACACAUGCAAGUCGAACGGAAAGACCCUGCUUUUGUUGCGUGCUCGAUUGGCGAACGGGUGAGUAACACGUGAGUAACCUGCCCUUGACUUUGGGAUAACUUCAGGAAACUGGGGCUAAUACCGGAUAGGAGCUCCUGCUGCGUGGUGGGGGUUGGAAAGUUUCGGCGGUUGGGGAUGGACUCGCGGCUUAUCCGCUUGUUGGUGGGGUAGUGGCUUACCAAGGCUUUGACGGGUAGCCGGCCUGAGAGGGUGACCGGCCACAUUGGGACUGAGAUACGGCCCAGACUCCAACGGGAGGCAGCAGUGGGGAAUAUUGCACAAUGGGCGGAAGUCUGAGGCAGCAACGCCGCGUGCGGGAUGACGGCUUUCGGGUUGUAAACCGCUUUCGCCUGUGAUGAAGCGUGAGUGACGGUAAUGGGUAAAGAAGCAACGGCUAACUACGUG
rnacentral:rRNA from 1 species